rnacentral:lncRNA from 1 species
AGAAAGCCAAGAGCAUAACCUUCAUGUCAAACACGGAAGAGGAAGAUGAGGAAGGUGGUCAAGAUAUUGAUGAAGAUCUGGCAAAAAAGGUAGUAAUGCUGGGAAGACAGUUCAACAGAAUGUCAAGAACAUCGCAUCUGACAUCAGUAAAUCCAACAGUUUUGGUAGAAGAACAAGGUCUGAAGAAAAGCCCAAAGAAGUUCAGUG